UAUAAGGGUAUUCUAAUCUUUUAAACUUGGAUACACCAUUCAUUACUUACUUAACAAUUUAAAGGAAUUUUAUAUAUAUAAAGAAUGAGUAAUUAUAAGCAUGGACCCUCACAAUCUGUAAUUUAUGUAAGCCUGGGUAUGUCCAUGUUUGUUCAAUGCUUGUGCCUGUAACCCCUCCUUGAGGCAUGCUUGGCCACUUUCACAAGAUAACUAUCUUUGUUGCCUCUAUUAUUGAACAUAACAAGAUGCUCUACCCUCUACAGACCAUGUUGAAAUGGCCAUAACUAAUCAUAAAUUCUAAGAUUUCUAAUAUUACUUCUGUCAUGUCAUUAGUCCAAGUUGCUGGUAAUUCAUGUAGUCAAUGCCAUUUAAUCUAAUACAACAUAACAGUUGCUCUGGCAGCUCCUCUGUUUUGUUCCCCUCUUGCCUGAAUUGUGAGGCCAACAUCUAGAGUGCAUAUCUUCAAUCUAUCCAUGAAAGCUUC